CGAGCCGAGUGGACGGCCGCGUCAGGACCUGGUCCUGCCGAGGAACGUCCGGACUCCACAGGGCAGGGUGGUGGCUAACGGCCACCCGGGGUGACCCGCGGGAAAGUGCCACAGAAAACAGACCGCCGGGGGCCUCGUCCCCGGUAAGGGUGAAACGGCGGUGUAAGAGACCACCAGUGCCCAGGGCGACCUGGGCAGCUCGGUAAACCCCACCCGGAGCAAGGUCAAGAGGGGCCACUCGUGGCCCUGCGCGGACGAUCGAGGGCUGCCCGCCCGAGUCCGCGGGUAGACCGCAGGAGGCCGGCGGCAACGUCGGCCCUAGAUGGAUGGCCGUCUCCCGGCCGACCGCGAGGUCGUCCGGCGACAGAAUCCGGCGUACAGCUCGACUCGUCUG
rnacentral:RNase_P_RNA from 1 species